AAAUAAUUCGAUGCCCAAUUUCAACCAAUUAAUCAAACGUACUCGAUACCAAAACGUAUAGGGUUGGGUGUCAGCGUUAGUAUCGAUUUCAUUUGUCUGAAAUUCGGAAGCCAAAACCCUAGUUUUUCAAUUUGAUUGAGUUUCCCCCUUUUUCUUGUUGAAUUCUCACUACCAAUCAACAAUGGCGGACGCUUUCUGGAGGUACGGUGAUAACAGGCAGCCGGCGGUGUCGCUUCCAGCUCAGAUGGCUUCCAAACGGACUCGUUCCGAGUUUGAGAUGCCAAGUGGACGAGACACAUCAAGCUACUAUACUCCCUGCAAUGAAAGGCCAGGAAAUGUUGUCCCUAGAGAUACUGACUCUGUCAAUGCAUCAUAUGAACGCUACUUGCGUAGUUUGCAAGUUCCAUCAUACGGUGGUCAAACUGGAAGACCUGCUACUGGUGGGCUUGAUGGUGUUCAUGAAAUUGAUGAUCUUAGGGUCCUAGGAAUGGUGCAAUCAGGCCCAGCAGCUGCUCCACAAAGCCGGUUAAUGGGAGUGGGUGGACGACCUGAAAUUUCACUCCCUCCUGAUGCUAGCAGCACAUUGUUCGUGGAGGGAUUGCCUGCGAACUGUACUCGCAGAGAAGUGUCUCAUAUAUUCCGCCCUUUUGUGGGCUAUAAGGAAGUAAGGCUUGUAAACAAGGCACCAAGAAAUCCUGGGGGGGAUCCUGUGGUGCUUUGCUUUGUUGAUUUUGAGAGCCCAGCUCAUGCGGCAACAGCAAUGGAUGCUCUGCAAGGUUACUUGUUUGAUGAGAACGAGCGGGAUUCAGGCCACUUAAGGGUUCAAUUUGCUCGGAAUCCUCCUGGUCCAAGGUUAGGUGGUGGGCAUCGUGCUAACCGUUGAAAUUGGUUUGACAGGUAUUAGAAUCAAUAUAUAAAACAAAACAAAUAUUGCUAACGUGGACUAUCGGAGAUCGGUGCUCACACAUGGUUCUCACAAGUGUUAUACACGGAGCCUGCCCUUUGGUUGGACACUAUAGUAUCUUGCUUGGUUGGCAGAAUGAUGCGCUCCCCACAGCAUUUCCACUAGAGGACUGUAUUCAAACAAAAUGAUCUCCACUCUCCUGAGCUCUUGGAACAGAGACAUUACCAAUGGAUGCAGCCAAAGGUAGAUAAAGAAAAAAAGUUAUUUAUGAGCAAAUAAAUGAGGGGACGAGGACAAACAAAGUUUGGUGAAAGAGGUUCCUUUUGAGGAACGACACUUGUGCUAUGUUCCAAAGGUAGAUAAAGAAAAAUAGUUAUUUGUAAGCAAAUAAAUGAGGUUCCUUUUGAGGAAUGGCACUUGUGCUAUGUUGCACUGAAGUUUUCUGUGCCUAUGUGCGUUCACUUUGAUGCUAAUAUAUAUGAGCCUAGUAACUGAAUGAUGUGAUCUUGUUGUAAGCACCAUGUCUAAAGCCAGAUUACUGGUUUAACAGAAUAGGAAAUGGUGCUUGUACAUAACCAGCGUGUACAUUAUUUUGGCCUAUUUGUAUAAAGUUGUAGAGUCUGGCUGGUGCCGUCUCCAUUUCCUGGGAGACAGCACUAUGUGAAGCUUCCAUAUAGGUGCAUUUCGAUGCCUUGACGUGAAGGUGCAAAUUUGUACUA